rnacentral:rRNA from 1 species
CAGUAGGGAAUUUUGCGCAAUGGACGAAAGUCUGACGCAGCAACGCCGCGUGAGGGAUGACGGCCUUCGGGUUGUAAACCUCUGUUGAGUGGGAAGAAAAGCUUUGUGGUUAAUAUCCACAGAGUCUGACGGUACCACUCGAGGAAGCUCCGGCUAACUACGUGCCAGCAGCCGCGGUAAUACGUAGGGGGCUAGCGUUGUUCGGAAUCACUGGGCGUAAAGGGAGUGUAGGCGGACCGGUAAGUUAGGAGUUAAAUGUACGGGCUCAACCCGUGAUCUGCUUUUAAUACUGUCGGUCUUGAGUAUGGGAGAGGGAGAUGGAAUUCCAGGUGUAGCGGUGGAAUGCGUAGAUAUCUGGAAGAACACCAGUUGCGAAGGCGGUCUCCUGGACCAAUACUGACGCUGAUGCUCGAAAGCUGGGGGAGCGAACAGGAUUAGAUACCCUGGUAGUCCCAGCCGUAAACGAUGGACACUAGUUGCCGGAGGAGUCAAUCCCUUCGGUGACGAAGCUAACGCAUUAAGUGUCCCGCCUGGGGAGUACGCUCGCAAGGGUGAAACUCAAAGGAAUUGACGGGGGCCCGCACAAGCGGUGGAGCAUGUGCUUUAAUUCGAUGCAACGCGAAGAACCUUACCUGGGUUUGACAUGGGGGUGAAAGUUUCCAGAGAUGGAAGCCUUUCCUUCGGGAACACCCCACACAGGUGCUGCAUGGUUGUCGUCAGCUCGUGUCGUGAGAUGUUGGGUUAAGUCCCGCAACGAGCGCAACCCCUGCCCUUAGUUGCCAUCAGGUAAAGCUGGGAACUCUAAGGGGACAGCUUGGUAUAACCAGGAGGAAGGUGGGGAUGACGUCAAAUCAUCAUGGCUCUUACGCCCAGGGCUAGACACGUGCUACAAUGGCAGGUACAGUGGGAUGCCAGCCUGCGAAGGUGAGCUAAUCCCUUAAAACCUGUCUCAGUCCGGAUUGGAGUCUGCAACUCGACUCCAUGAAGUUGGAAUCGCUAGUAAUCGCGGAUCAGCAUGCCGCGGUGAAUACGUUCCCGGGCCUUGUACACACCGCCCGUCAAGCCAUGAAAGGCGGUAGUACCCGAAGUCGCGUACCCAACC